UACGGAGGAUGCGAGCGUUAUCCGGAUUUAUUGGGUUUAAAGGGUGCGUAGGCGGUCCGUUAAGUCAGCGGUAAAGUUGCGGGGCUCAACCCCGUCGAGCCGUUGAAACUGGCAGACUUGAGUUGGCGAGAAGUACGCGGAAUGCGCGGUGUAGCGGUGAAAUGCAUAGAUAUCGCGCAGAACUCCGAUUGCGAAGGCAGCGUACCGGCGCCAGACUGACGCUGAGGCACGAAAGCGUGGGGAUCGAACAGG
rnacentral:rRNA from 1 species